GCCCGAUUGGCUCAAUUGGUCAGAGCGCCAACCUGAUACGUUGGAGGCUGGUGGUUCAAUUCCGCCAUCGGGUAC
rnacentral:tRNA from 1 species